rnacentral:rRNA from 1 species
AUUGAACGCUGGCGGCAGGCCUAACACAUGCAAGUCGAGCGGUUGCGGGAAGAUUGCUUCCUGUUUCCUCGGCGGACGGGUGCGUAAUGCCUAUGAAUGUGACACGUCGUGGGGGACAGCGUUACGAACGGAACACUAAAACCAAUACCGCAUUACGGCGCAAAGCCGAGGACCUUCGGGUUCUGCGCUCUCACCUGCGGCUAGGUCGGAUUAGCUAGUUGGUGAGGUAAUGGCUCACCAAGGCGACGAUCCGUAGCUGGUCUGAGAGGAUGAUCAGUCACACUGGAACUGAGACACGGUCCAGGCUCCUACGGGAGGCAGCAGUGGGGAAUAUUGGACAAUGGGCGAAAGCCUGAUCCAGCCAUGCCGCGUGUGUGAAGAAGGUCUUCGGAUUGUAAAGCACUUUAAGUUGGGAGGAAGGGCAGACAGCUAAUACCUUGAUGUAUUGACGUUACCGGCAGAAUAAGCACCGGCUAACUCUGUG